AACCGGAGGAAGGUGGGGAUGACGUCAAGUCAUCAUGGCCCUUACGAGUAGGGCUACACACGUGCUACAAUGGCGUAUACAAAGAGAAGCGACCUCGCGAGAGCAAGCGGAACUCAUAAAGUACGUCGUAGUCCGGAUUGGAGUCUGCAACUCGACUCCAUGAAGUCGGAAUCGCUAGUAAUCGUAGAUCAGAAUGCUACGGUGAAUACGUUCCCGGGCCUUGUACACACCGCCCGUCACACCAUGGGAGUGGGUUGCAAAAGAAGUAGGUAGCUUAACCUUCGGGAGGGCGCUUACCACUUUGUGAUUCAUGACUGGGGUGAAGUCGUAACAAGG
rnacentral:rRNA from 1 species